CACGUAGGGUGCGAGCGUUGUCCGGAAUUAUUGGGCGUAAAGAGCUCGUAGGCGGUGUGUCGCGUCGGCCGUGAAAACCUGCAGCUUAACUGUGGGCUUGCGGUCGAUACGGGCAUCACUGGAGUUCGGCAGGGGAGACUGGAAUUCCUGGUGUAGCGGUGAAAUGCGCAGAUAUCAAGGAGGGAACACCGGGUGGCGAA
rnacentral:rRNA from 1 species